rnacentral:ncRNA from 1 species
AACUGCCAGAUGACUGCGUUCAAAGCGACGUUACUUUUUGAUUCUUCGAUGUCGGCUCUUCCUAUCAUUGCGAAGCAGAAUUCACCAAGCGUUGGAUUGUUCACCCACUAAUAGGGAAUGUGAGCUGGUAUUAGACCGUUGUGAGACAGGUU